rnacentral:lncRNA from 1 species
GUAGCUUUGGAUGGUUCGCAACUAGUUUAUCUGACACUAGUUUCUUAACUUAAAGUCUUGGGUCAUUAGGUUUUACAAUAUUAUAUAGUUAAUAAAUAUUACCUUUUUAUCACUUAAGGAUUAGCUAUGGUUGAUAACCUCCAAGGAAAGGUGUUCAGAAAACUCAUAAAAGGCAAAAACAACUGCUUAAAAGGUCACAACAACGGGGGUAGUUACAUUAAGCCAAGGACUCUUAUAAGCAGGACCGGUCACGCGCAAACAUGAAUUCAAAUACGCGUGCAACAUGGGUCCAUUGAAAAAAACCAUGCAACGUGUUUGGUAAGAUAAUAAGUAAUAACUAUUAUUUACUUUGUGGACUCCAUCUUUAUUGUGUUUUGCAUAUCCAAUCAUGUCCACUAAGUGUUGUGUGUGCUUCCGGGUGUAGAACGGGUAAAGUAAUGAAGUGAGACCCUUGGCAAGGCUCUAAAGAAGAGGUACCUCAAACCAGAUGUAGUAACAUCCCUAUGGCCAAACUGUCCCAACUACCUCUCAAUUCCUAAAGCGUCAUCAAGACCAACUGCGACCACGUCACGUAGGGCUCAACAGUUCAAUGAACUACAACGGCAUGUUGUGUGUCACGAAUCAUCAAUUGGAGCACUUAAGUACUACUCUAAAGAAGACAACAGCCCUGAGUUUAAAGACACAGCCCAAUUUUCAGAGUUAGUCAGAACUAUGCGGAAUAUCCUAAACGUUAAGACACCUGGAGUUGGCUACGAAAAGAGAGAUGAGCUUCGGGAACCAAUCUUUGAGAAGAACAAACUUGGCCUCUCUUUCUUGAGAGAUUUUGUUGACUUUCUUAUCGAGUGGUAAAACAGUAAAGGACCUGGCCUCCGAAACCUUCCUAGUAACAAAGCAGACGUGUCUUGCUGCAGCAGAUCUGGCAGAGUAUCUUUUCCUAGAUGAAGACUUUUCCUAUGCACUCCUCGGCAUGUUCCAGUAUGAUUCCAUUGAAUGAAGGUUCGGCUGGUACAGACAACUAAGUGGAGGUAUUUACUAUCUCAGCGUGAGACAGAUCCUGGAAGCAGAGAAAAAGAUUCGUAUUUAGAGUCUAGUCAAACUCUCAGGUAUGACUACUUUAGAAAUUAAAGCUCUGCUGGAUGAAAACCUGCCAAAAGCUGAGCUCAUUUUGACUUACUGGCAACCAGAUGACCUCUAGGAACUAGCUUCCAAGGGAGAGAGUAAUGCUUUCUACUUUGUUGCCGGAUAUAUUGGUUUUUCUUUGAAGAAGAAGAUCAGCUGUACAUCAUGGUAAGAGUUAAUGGUGAUCAGAGACACACCUCCGGACUCAAUAACCUUUGAUAGCCCUACCAAUCAGUAUGUAGACCUUAAAGAGUUCCUCAACAUAAUGUACAGAUGGUUCUCGACUUCAUCCGACCUUCUCUACCUCUCCCGUCUUUAUGCUUACACCAUAUUCUCUUACAUUACAGCUACUGCUGAAGAGACAGUUUACUUGGCCCCCAAAUCCUAGAGCUUAAUUUAAUGCCACAUUCAUUGACAGGAUGCAGGACAUUUUAAACUCUGAAAUUAUCAUCGUUGUGGGAGUAAAGUACGAGGAAGGAUACUCCUAGUCAGCUUUUCUUCAAAGAAUUGAAUUUUCUUUGAUUAAUGUUAUGGGUAAAAAUUUAAGUGCAAAACUGAAUGAUGACAUCCGAUUUUUAACAAAAAAGAA